UGGUGCGAUCAUACCAGCACUAAUGCACCGGAUCCGAUCAGAACUCCGGAGUUAAACGUGCUUGGGCGAGAGUAGUACUAAGAUUGUUGACCUCUUGGGAAGUCCUCGUGUUGCACCCC
rfam:Ricinus communis cultivar Hale ctg_1100012297909, whole genome shotgun sequence.